UGGGGAAUAUUGCACAAUGGAGGGAACUCUGAUGCAGCGACGCCGCGGGAACGAAGAAGGCUUUCGAGUCGUAAAGUUCUUUUAUAUGGGAAGAUAAUGACGGUACCAUAAGAAAAAGCCCCGGCUAACUACGUGCCAGCAGCCGCGGUAAUACGUAGGGGGCUAGCGUUGUCCGGAAUCACUGGGCGUAAAGGGUUCGCAGGCGGAAAUGCAAGUCAGGUGUAAAAGGCAGUAGCUUAACUACUGUAAGCAUUUGAAACUGCAUAUCUUGAGAAGAGUAGAGGUAAGUUGAAUUUUUAGUGUAGCGGUGAAAUGCGUAGAUAUUAAAAAGAAUACCGGUGGCGAAGGCGACUUACUGGGCUCAUUCUGACGCUGAGGAACGAAAGCGUGGGUAGCAAACAGG
rnacentral:rRNA from 1 species